rnacentral:sRNA from 1 species
AUUAAAAGUAGAGAAAUGUAUAUUUUUCAAAUAAAAACUUAAAAAUAAGGUAAUUUUCAAAAUCUAAAAAAAAAACACAAUAACUCUUCUUUCAUACCAUGCACAUGCACCGCACUGAAUCAUUACUCUUACGUAACCAUCAACGACGCCGUGAAGUUAUAUGUUUACUUCCCGUCUGGGAAUUGUCAAAACUCAGUUGUAUACUAAACGGGUUAUUGUUUCAGUCAUGACAAUUAGAUUGUGGACUUGUGUUUGUUUCAGUUAAAUCAAUUUAUCUCCGUGUUUUAUAUGCUGAUUUUUGACUUUUUGGUUCAGUAGAAUGGCUGAUUAAGAACAAGAACAGUUCUUGAUUGUCUUGUGCCGCCUAUCAGCAUCUAGAUGGAACCAUCUGAUUAGUUUAGCAAAUGCUUGGUCAGUGAACACGGGACAUCAUAACAAAGGAGCAGUUGUGCAAGAUGUUCGCAUGUGGUUGCCUGGUUAUGUUUGUUUUUUUAUAUGGAUGGCAACAUCAAUGGAGGUGGUGGGGGAACGGAGGUGGUGGGAAUCAUAAUUUAAUUGAGGUGCAGAACCAGGAUUUUGUUGAGGUUUCACAUGACGUUGUUGAAGAGGAAGCCCAUAGGAAGAGGAAGACGUUGAGGUAGAAGUGGUUGUAGUUGAAGUUGAAGUCGCCGUAGUUGAAGUUGAGGCAGAAGUGGCUGUAGUUGAAGUUGAGCCAGAAAAUUCACGUUAGAGAAAGAGGGUUGGUGCUAACUAAUGGAUACCAUACAAACGGCAACGUCUUUUGUGAGUUUAGGCGGUCUUCUGUACAAAAGAUUAGAUCAUCCUCAAUGGUAGGAUAUUAAUCAUAUUUAAUGAAUAAAUUUUGAAAUUUUGUUGUUAAGAGUUUUAGUAAGUUUUUAAUUUUUUAGCAACCUCAAUAGUAGUAUAUUAAGUUGGAGUUUUUUAAAAAAUUAAUUUUU